CACCCCUCCCGCCAAGUCUCUUGCUUUGUCAGCAAGUGUGAGCCCACUCUAGGGCCCUGCAGAGGGUUCCCCUUCCUGCAACGAUAAGAGGAACAGGGUCUACUUGCCCACCUACCAUUGGGAAUUAGAAAGCUGAACAAAACAGGAAACUGUUCUCAGACCCUGAACAGCAGGCAGUGUGGGGGUUCCGGGGCUAGGUUCCUCCCGUGAAGGUGAGCACACACACCAACCUGACGACUCCGCUCUCUGCUUUCAGGCGGUCUUCACGGUGCAACUGCAGGCAGAGGAGCCCAUGAACAUUCUGGCAGAAUCUGGAUUGAGAACACGGGUGAGCUGGGAGGCCACCGAGGCGAUGAUCUGUGUGGCAGGGCAUCAGAAAGGAGGGAGCUACUCAGAGAAAAAGUUCCACAGCUGCUGAAUGAUCCCUUUGAGUCUAUCGACUGUCCAUCGGAGGACACGGAGGUGAGAUUCCGUAAUGAAUAAAAACACAAAAUAUUGGUCUCAAAGCAAAAAAUAAAACAAUUCUUUCCACAUUAAAUUUUUUUCAAAGUAUGGUAAUUAAAUGAAGGCUAGUGAGCAGUACACAUACAUAAAUGGAUGUUUCUAGAAAGCAAUGUUUUGAAGAUGUCAAGAAACCUCGUCAUGCCAGUUUUAGAAUUCUACGGAAAAAAUGCAGAGUAACGUGGAUACUCUUUGCAUACAAAAGGCAUUGGAAUAGCUUUAGUAUUGUUCCUUUAAAAAUUUUAAUUGGUGGAAAAUUGUUUUACCAUUUUGUGUUGGUUUCUGCCAUACAAUGCAAAUUAGCCAUAAUUAUUGACUGUAUGUAUAUAUUUGUCUAUCACUUGCUUCUUGAGCCUCUCUCCCCUCCUUGAACAGCUUUAGUAAAGAAAUCGCUGACCCUGUUACCCAUGUUCCUCACUCAACUACGCUUCCAUUAUCAUGUUCAUAAAGAUCUUAAAAUACAGACCAGGACGUGCCUUUCCUCGCUACUAUUUGCGUUGCAAGGGGUCAGCCAGCACCACUUGCAUUAGGCUGAGGCUAGGGGUACGCAGAGGAGUGGUAGCAAACCAGGAAGGCAUGUCCUGCUCAGAGCUUGCGACGUAGGGAAGCUGGAGGCAGGCUGCGGGGAAGAGAGGCGGCCCUGGGAUUGCUUAGAGGAACAUGUUCCCACCGAUUUGUUUCUAAAUGAAAAACACAUGGGAGGAAAGUCACUGACCCAGACGGGACCUUGACGCCUAAUGCGGCAGUUUGGGGAUGUGGAUUUCCACAAUGGUUGCCAGGGGGCAGGGGGAAAGGCCUCGUGGGUUGUAGUUUUCUCCCAUAUUUAGACAUACUGAAACUCCUCGUGGGUCAUCUUCAACUGAGCAGCUGUUCUGUAGAUAAACUUUAUAAUUACAGACAACUGUAAUAAUUACAGUAACGUCCAGUAACAACGAUAAUAGUAAUUUUCAUUAUGGAUUUUACUGUCAUCUACUAAAACCUGCUGCUGCUCCUACGUCGCUUCAGUCGUGUCCGACUCUGUGCGACCCAGCAGAUGGCAGCCCACCAGGCUCCCCCCUCCCUGGGAUUCUCCCGGCAAGAACAGUGGGAUGGGUUGCUAUUUUCUUCAAUGCAUGAAAGUGAAAAGUGAAAG
ensembl:lncRNA